UGCAAGUCGAACGGUUUUCAAUUUCGGUUGAAGAUAGUGGCGCACGGGUGAGUAACGCGUACGUAAUCUGCCUUUGUCUGGGGGAUACACACGGGAAACUGUGGAUAAACCCGCAUGAGAUUUACGAACGGCAUCGUUUGUAGAUGAAAAGAGAUGGACAGAGAUGAGCGUGCGUCUGAUUAGCUAGUUGGUGAGGUAACGGCUCACCAAGGCGACGAUCAGUAGGGGGCGUGAGAGCGUGACCCCCCACACGGGUACUGAGACACGGACCCGACUCCUACGGGAGGCAGCAGUAAGGAAUAUUGGUCAAUGGGAGGAAUCCUGAACCAGCCAUGCCGCGUGCGGGACGAAGGCCCUUUGGGUUGUAAACCGCUUUUGUCAGGGAAGAAUGGGUUAGAUUUAUCUAAUGAGAGACGGUACCUGAAGAAUAAGCACCGGCUAACUCCGUGCCAGCAGCCGCGGUAAUACGGAGGGUGCAAGCGUUAUCCGGAAUCACUGGGUUUAAAGGGUACGUAGGCGGUUUAAUAAGUCAGGUGUGAAAUACCGCGGCCUAACUGCGGAACUGCACUUGAUACUGUUAGACUUGAGAGGAGUGGAGGUAUACGGAAUGCAUCAUGUAGCGGUGAAAUGC
rnacentral:rRNA from 1 species